rnacentral:rRNA from 1 species
UACGUAGGGGGCAAGCGUUGUCCGGAUUUAUUGGGCGUAAAGAGCGUGUAGGCGGCCAGACAGGUCCGUUGUGAAAACUCGAGGCUCAACCUCGAGAUGUCGAUGGAAACCGUCUGGCUAGGGUCCGGAAGAGGAGUGUGGAAUUCCUGGUGUAGCGGUGAAAUGCGCAGAUAUCAGGAAGAACACCUAUGGCGAAGGCAGCACUCUGGGACGGUACUGACGCUGAGACGCGAAAGCGUGGGGAGCGAACAGG